rnacentral:rRNA from 1 species
AUUGAACGCUGGCGGAAUGCUUUACACAUGCAAGUCGAACGGUAGAGGGGGCAACCCCUCGAGAGUGGCGAACGGGUGAGUAAUAUAUCGGAACGUGCCCAGUCGUGGGGGAUAACGUAGCGAAAGUUACGCUAAUACCGCAUACGAUCUAAGGAUGAAAGCGGGGGAUCGCAAGACCUCGCGCGAUUGGAGCGGCCGAUAUCAGAUUAGGUAGUUGGUGGGGGAAAGGCCCACCAAGCCAACGAUCUGUAGCUGGUCUGAGAGGACGACCAGCCACACGGGAACUGAGACACGGUCCAGACUCCUACGGGAGGCAGCAGUGGGGAAUUUUGGACAAUGGGCGAAAGCCUGAUCCAGCCAUUCCGCGUGCAGGAUGAAGGCCCUCGGGUUGUAAACUGCUUUUGUACAGAACGAAAAGGUUUCUACUAAUACUAGGAGCUCAUGACGGUACUGUAAGAAUAAGCACCGGCUAACUACGUGCCAGCAGCCGCCGUAA